rnacentral:rRNA from 1 species
UGGUUUUCCAGGCAAAUCCGGAAAAUCAAGGCUGAGGCGUGACGACGAGGCACUACGGUGCUGAAGCAACAAAUGCCCUGCUUCCAGGAAAAGCCUCUAAGCAUCAGGUAACAUCAAAUCGUACCCCAAACCGACACAGGUGGUCAGGUAGAGAAUACCAAGGCGCUUGAGAGAACUCGGGUGAAGGAACUAGGCAAAAUGGUGCCGUAACUUCGGGAGAAGGCACGCUGACACGUAGGUGAAGUGAUUUACUCAUGGAGCUGAAGUCAGUCGAAGAUACCAGCUGGCUGCAACUGUUUAUUAAAAACACAGCACUGUGCAAACACGAAAGUGGACGUAUACGGUGUGACGCCUGCCCGGUGCCGGAAGGUUAAUUGAUGGGGUCAGCGCAAGCGAAGCUCCUGAUCGAAGCCCCGGUAAACGGCGGCCGUAACUAUAACGGUCCUAAGGUAGCGAAAUUCCUUGUCGGGUAAGUUCCGACCUGCACGAAUGGCGUAAUGAUGGCCAGGCUGUCUCCACCCGAGACUCAGUGAAAUUGAACUCGCUGUGAAGAUGCAGUGUACCCGCGGCAAGACGGAAAGACCCCGUGAACCUUUACUAUAGCUUGACACUGAACAUUGAGCCUUGAUGUGUAGGAUAGGUGGGAGGCUUUGAAGUGUGGACGCCAGUCUGCAUGGAGCCGACCUUGAAAUACCACCCUUUAAUGUUUGAUGUUCUAACGUGGACCCGUAAUCCGGGUUGCGGACAGUGUCUGGUGGGUAGUUUGACUGGGGCGGUCUCCUCCUAAAGAGUAACGGAGGAGCACGAAGGUUGGCUAAUCCUGGUCGGACAUCAGGAGGUUAGUGCAAUGGCAUAAGCCAGCUUGACUGCGAGCGUGACGGCGCGAGCAGGUGCGAAAGCAGGUCAUAGUGAUCCGGUGGUUCUGAAUGGAAGGGCCAUCGCUCAACGGAUAAAAGGUACUCCGGGGAUAACAGGCUGAUACCGCCCAAGAGUUCAUAUCGACGGCGGUGUUUGGCACCUCGAUGUCGGCUCAUCACAUCCUGGGGCUGAAGUAGGUCCCAAGGGUAUGGCUGUUCGCCAUUUAAAGUGGUACGCGAGCUGGGUUUAGAACGUCGUGAGACAGUUCGGUCCCUAUCUGCCGUGGGCGCUGGAGAACUGAGGGGGGCUGCUCCUAGUACGAGAGGACCGGAGUGGACGCAUCACUGGUGUUCGGGUUGUCAUGCCAAUGGCACUGCCCGGUAGCUAAAUGCGGAAGAGAUAAGUGCUGAAAGCAUCUAAGCACGAAACUUGCCCCGAGAUGAGUUCUCCCUGAGACUUAGAGUCUCCUGAAGGAACGUUGAAGACGACGACGUUGAUAGGCCGGGUGUGUAAGCGCAGCGAUGCGUUGAGCUAACCGGUACUAAUGAACCGUGAGG